UCAACGCUGGCGGCGUGCCUAACACAUGCAAGUCGAACGCGAAAGCCCUUUCGGGGGUAAGUAGAAUGGCGUCCGGGUGAGUAACACGUGGGUAAUCUGCCUUCGGGUGGGGAAUAACUCAGGGAAACUUGAGCUAAUACCGCAUAAUGCAGCGGCACCUAAUGGUGAUUAGUUGUUAAAGCGGGGGAUCGCAAGACCUCGCGCCUGAAGAGGAGCCUGCGGCAGAUUAGCUAGUUGGUGAGGUAAUGGCUCACCAAGGCUUCGAUCUGUAGCUGGUCUGAGAGGACGGCCAGCCACACUGGCACUGACACACGGGCCAGACUCCUACGGGAGGCAGCAGUGGGGAAUUUUGGGCAAUGGGCGAAAGCCUGACCCAGCAACGCCGCGUGAGGGAGGAAAUCCUUCGGGAUGUAAACCUCACAAGCAAGGGAAGAGAGCUACGGGCUGAAUAAUCCCGUAGUGCGACGGUACCUUGCGUAAGCCACGGCUAACUACGUGCCAGCAGCCGCGGUAAUACGUAGGUGGCAAGCGUUGUUCGGAAUUAUUGGGCGUAAAGGGCGCGUAGGCGGUUUGUUAAGUCGGCUGUGAAAGCCCGGGGCUCAACCCCGGAGGGUCAGCCGAUACUGGCAGACUAGAGUACGGAAGAGGUAGCUGGAAUUCCCGGUGUAGCGGUGAAAUGCGUAGAUAUCGGGAGGAACACCUGAGGCGAAGGCGGGCUACUGGGCCGAUACUGACGCUGAUGCGCGAAAGCCAGGGGAGCGAACGGGAUUAGAUACCCCGGUAGUCCUGGCCCUAAACGAUGGACACUUGGUGUGUCGGGUAUUCCAGUCCCGAUGUGCCGGAGCUAACGCGUAAGUGUUCC
rnacentral:rRNA from 1 species